CAGCAAUACAAUGGAUAAACCAUAAGACUAGACAUAUAAGAAAGGUUACUGUACACAAAUAGAUUUGGCAACACCCUUUUACAAACAGCCCAAAUUCUCAAAUCCCACAUUCACAACCCUCCAGCAUGUGGAAGUUCUGCUUCUCAUUUGGGAGCGUCAAAUGCUAAGGGUUUACAUGUACCCUUACCCUUCCUUACAACUACUAAUGCUUUUGCAGGUGAAAAAGCCCCCUGUCAGGUCCUACACAUGCACACACCCAAAAUGUGGGUCACUGGUUGUUGUAACCUGUGCUGCCAUCCCAUAAGAAGUUGUUGGGGGUGCUGUGGGGAAGCAGGUUGAUCUGGCAUGGUCUGAGCUCAUGAUGACACAGGGAAAACUGGGUAGAGUCAUAAAAUGAUAGAAUCAUAGAAUGGCUUGGGUUGGAAGGGAUCUUAAAGAUCAUCUUGUUCCACCCCCCUGCCAUGGGCAGGAACACCUCCCACUUGAUCAGGGUGCACAGUGCUUCAUCCAGCCUGGCCUUGAUCACCUACAGGGAUGGUCUAACCAGGUUCUUUUCUCAGCUGUUUAAACACAAGUUGAAUAUGGAGCCUUCCAACAUAAAGCCACUGAGAAAAAUGUAUACAGGCUGGUGACUGGAGUAGAGGAAAAGGUGAAACAACUUUGUGUCUUGGUUUCAAGUAAGUUCCAUAAGACGUACUUUUCCCCAUCACUGUCUCCAUGACAAAGACUGAGCUGUUCUGCCCUUACUGUGCUCAGUAGGACAUGCCAAGAAGUCCUUCUUCUAUCAAGGUCUCAAUGAAACUGUCACUGAAAGCAGCUGAAACUGAAUCAACAAUUGCAAGUACACAAAGCUGAGUUACCACACUUCUUCCCCUGCUUGUCAUUCAUGUGAAUGACUGUUUCUAGAGGUCAGAGAGGACAAAUAAAUGCAAAGGCUGAGAGAAUGAUUUGGAGUAC
rnacentral:lncRNA from 1 species